rnacentral:rRNA from 1 species
CAGUCGCCGCGGUAAUACGAAGGGUGCAAGCGUUAAUCGGAAUUACUGGGCGUAAAGCGUGCGUAGGCGGUUUGUUAAGUCUGUUGUGAAAUCCCCGGGCUCAACCUGGGAAUGGCAAUGGAUACUGGCAAGCUAGAGUGUGUCAGAGGAUGGUGGAAUUCCCGGUGUAGCAGUGAAAUGCGUAGAGAUGUGGAGGAAUACCGAUGGCGAAGGCAGCCCCCUGGGCCAAUACUGACGCUCAUGCACGAAAGCGUGGGGAGCAAACAGGAUUAGAUACCCCCGUAGUCCCUGUCUCUUAUAC